UACGGGGGGGGCAAGCGUUGUUCGGAAUUACUGGGCGUAAAGGGCCAGUAGGCGGCCAACUAAGUCGGAUGUGAAAUCCCCAGGCUCAACUUGGGAACUGCAUCCGAUACUGGAUGGCUUGAAUUCGGGAGAGGGAUGCAGAAUUCCAGGUGUAGCGGUGAAAUGCGUAGAUAUCAGGAAGAACACCAACGGCGAAGGCAGCUCGCUGGGACGGUACUGACGCUGAGACGCGAAAGCGUGGGGAGCGAACAGG
rnacentral:rRNA from 1 species